AGGCGCCGGCGAAAAAGAGCGUAGCGGAAAGGAAUCUUUGUCAAACUUUGCUGAAUUUACGUCAAAAUACCAAAGAAAGUGGCUUGGAGAAAUGGAUGGACCAACUAACGGUUUUUACUAAAAAAGUGCAUGAAGUGAACUGAAUGGUAAAAUAAGCUUUUGAAAUGGAGUAAUAUAUAGGAUUUCGAUGUUAAUUGAAAUGGAAUAAUGUUUUUUCCUGAACGUCCUCACCUCAGGAUGUACAUGCGCAGGGUAUUUGACCUUGAACUUGUAAAAUAUAACAGUUUAGAUAAUAUAACACUUAAUGUGUAUUAUUAUAUUUGAAGAUUGUAGUAUAUAUGUAUAUACAGUUCAUAUUAUUGAAUAGGGCUUUAUUUUCAUUUAUAUUUUUUGUUAUAGAUAUGUUUUUGAAUUAGUCCCUCGAAUUACCUUGUUGUGGUGUAGAAUUUGUUUGCAAACUUGUAUAGAGGACGAGGUCGGAUUCCCC